rnacentral:rRNA from 1 species
GAGCGGCGAACGGGUGAGUAACACGUGAGCAACCUACCCUCAACUUUGGGAUAAGCCUCGGAAACGGGGUCUAAUACCGGAUAACACCAUNNNUCUCAUGGGGGGUGGUUGAAAGUUCUGGCGGUUGGGGAUGGGCUCGCGGCCUAUCAGCUUGUUGGUGGGGUAAUGGCCUACCAAGGCGUCGACGGGUAGCCGGCCUGAGAGGGCGACCGGCCACACUGGGACUGAGACACGGCCCAGACUCCUACGGGAGGCAGCAGUGGGGAAUAUUGCGCAAUGGACGAAAGUCUGACGCAGCAACGCCGCGUGAGGGAUGACGGCCUUCGGGUUGUAAACCUCUUUCAGCAGGGACGAAGCGAGAGUGACGGUACCUGCAGAAGAAGGACCGGCCAACUACGUGCCAGCAGCCGCGGUAAUACGUAGGGUCCGAGCGUUGUCCGGAAUUAUUGGGCGUAAAGGGCUCGUAGGCGGUUCGUCACGUCGGGAGUGAAAACUCGGGGCUUAACCCCGAGCCUGCUUCCGAUACGGGGCAGACUAGAGGUAGGCAGGGGAGAGCGGAACUNCU